rnacentral:ncRNA from 1 species
UCCACGGCCCCUGCCACUCCACAAACAUGGUAGGCCAGCCGUGAAAAAAGGAGGAAAAGUUCAAGCCCGGACUCGGGCUGCGGCAGUGUGGAGACCUGUCGCAACGCGGCGCAGUCCAACGCGGCUGGCCGUGAGCACACAGCAAGCGGAUGCUCUGUGUGCGGAGUCGAGAAACAUGGCA